UCCGGCCAAACUAAAUGCGCCGUUUGCCCACAAAACAAGUUUACAAACACAAAGCUUGGAGCAACUUCAUGUCAAGAUGUGAAACCACCAAGCCAGGGACAAAAUGGUUUGCUGGAGAUAAGUUCAAUCAAGAAACCAGAAAAAUGGCGUAUUAACGUAGACAAAGACACUUUAGAGUGUAAUAUUAAAGUCAACAGCUACAACCUUGUGUCUGUGCAAUGGAAGAUCAUCAACAAGGACAAUAUACCAGACGACUUCCUUGCUAAGCCUAAGUUUGAAGAGAUUCGAGAUGCUGGCGGAAAACUCGUUGGCUCUCGUCUUCAUUUAUUGGAUGUCACUCCAGAAAACGCAAGACUGGAUUACGUCUGCGUAGCGGCCAACGUCAACGGAGAAACACGCAAGACUGUGAACGUUCCCUGGCCUUUCCCCGUUUAAAGGUUUCUUUGCUGAGUUUGAUUCGAAAUCAGUCUGAUGAAGAAGCAAAAAGACUGCAAUCUUAGAAUAUAAACAAUAAAGAUGUUGUAUCAUC